rnacentral:rRNA from 1 species
UACGUAGGGUGCGAGCGUUAAUCGGAAUUACUGGGCGUAAAGCGUGCGCAGGCGGUUUUGUAAGCCAGAUGUGAAAUCCCCGGGCUCAACCUGGGAAUGGCAUUGGGACUGCAAGGCUGGAGUGCGGCAGAGGAGACUGGAAUUCCUGGUGUAGCAGUGAAAUGCGUAGGAUAUCGAGGAAGAACACCCGUGGCGAAGGCGG